rnacentral:rRNA from 1 species
UACGAAGGGGGCUAGCGUUGCUCGGAAUCACUGGGCGUAAAGCGCACGUAGGCGGACUCUUAAGUCGGUGGUGAAAUCCUGGAGCUCAACUCCAGAACUGCCUUCGAUACUGAGAGUCUCGAGUCCGGGAGAGGUGAGUGGAACUGCGAGUGUAGAGGUGAAAUUCGUAGAUAUUCGCAAGAACACCAGUGGCGAAGGCGGCUCACUGGCCCGGUACUGACGCUGAGACGCGAAAGCGUGGGUAGCAAACAGG